UCCCAUUUACCAAUGUAUUUCUUUCAUGCCUGUUUGUGCUAUACUACUGUUUUUAAACAAUAUACAGUUUCCUCCUACUGAAGUAUAAACUCAAUGAGGAGUUUUCCCCACAGUGGUCUUAUUCCCAGAGCCUAGAUCAAUGUCUGGCACGUAGAAGGUGCUCAAAAAAUACAUACAUACAUUUACAAUAUAUACUUUUACUUGGCUUUAUGAGAAAAAGUUACAGUUAAAAGUAUUCAGCACUUCCAUCUUCUUGAACAAGACUAUGCUCCUAGUACACUUUAGCUACCUAAUACUCCUUGUUAUUAUUUUCCAGAGACUCAGAAUAACCUUUACAAAAAUAAUUGGUCUUGUUAUUAUCAUUGUUAAGUGACUUUGCCAAAAAGUACACCCUCAUCCUAUCUUGAGGUUCUCUUUUCUUUCUGCUAAAGGAUGUUCUUUAGAAAUUCUUAUAGAUAGGAUAUGCUAGAGAUAAAUUUAGUCUUUGCCCCAAAAUGUCUUUCUCUUGUCCUCAAUCUCUAGUAGUGCUUUAGAUGGAUAAAGUUAUCAUCACUCAGCAUUUUAAAGAUAUUAGUUCAUUAUCUUCUAGCUGCUAUUGUUGCUGUUGAGAAGCCUGCACAGUUGAUAAUCUUUUGGAGAUUUUUUCUCUCUGGUAGCUUUUAAAUGUCUCUAGCCUUUUAGUUGCAAAUAAUGUUUCUCAUUGUGAUUGGUUUUUACUUGUCUGCUUAGUAUGUAGAGCGUACUUUUAAUGUGAGGUUUCAAGUGUUCAGUUCUGAAAAAUUCAUGAUGUAGUUCUUUAGUUAUCAUUUCUUAGUCAUUCUUAAACCCCCUUGUUCCAGAACUCCCAUUAGAUGUAUAAUGAAGCAUCUUAAUCUAUUUUUAAUAUAUCUUUAUGGAAUAAUCAGAUAAUUUUGAGUAUUUUAUGUCUCUAUUAUGCAUUCUGGGUGAUUUAAAGAGUUAGAACAAUUUUCCACUUCACUAGUUCUCUCUUUAAUCAUGUCUACUUUAGAAUUCAUUCCAUCUAUUGACUUAAUUUC
rnacentral:lncRNA from 1 species